AUAGAGAGUACUUUUAUUUGCAGGAGAUUCCCUCUAUAGUUGCUGAACCUGUCAAUGUAACAAGAAGGGUGGAGGGUGUCCCUCUCAAGAUGAUCUGAGGGACAUUGGUGAGCAACCAGCUAGCUGACGCAGUAUGAGGACACUGUCUUCCAUGCCACUGCCUCCUCAGAAGAGUCUGCCCGGUUCAUCUGUCAGUUCAGCAGCGGCUCUGUGACGGCCAGAUGCCUGGCGGAUUUUCAUUUCCAGAGAUAUUAUACUACUUGCUUUCAAAGGAAUUCAAUAUUUUCAUUCAGAAAAGUAAUUUCACAGGAAAGUAACACAGAGUGAUGUCCUGGGUAUUCAUUUUCAGAGCCAAUCUUACAAAGUCAAUUUGUGCUGCAAGGAGCUGGGGCGACAUGAAAAGGACUCUAAGAAGGGAAGACGAGGUCCUGUUCUGGCAUGCUUUCAAGUCUCUUCCAUAGGAGAUGAAGGCUUGUUGCUGUGCCUUCAAGGGUAUAAAUUUAGAGGCCGCCAAACCGUCCGGAGGUAAUUCAAAUGCUGGUAAAUGUUGGAAUCCACCCUGGCCCCUGCUCAUGUGAAUACCCUGGCACUAACCCCACUCACAGGAAACGAAACCAAUUUGGGAAAGCGAAGAGAGAAUAAACAUGCAAUUAAAAUGGCCACUUCUCCUGGU